UCCUUCUUAGCUCAAUUGGUAGAGCGUGUCACUACGGUGCUGUGGAUGAAACAAAAUCAUGAAUCUAUGAUGACAAGGUUAGUCGUUUAAAUUGACUAGAAGGAA